UACGAACCGUGCAAACGUUGUUCGGAAUCACUGGGCUUAAAGGGCGCGUAGGCGGUCAAUCAAGUCCGGGGUGAAAUCUUUCGGCUUAACCGGAAAAGUGCCUUGGAUACUGAUUGGCUGGAGGGAGGUAGGGGCAACUGGAACUUCCGGUGGAGCGGUGAAAUGCGUUGAUAUCGGAAGGAACGCCGGUGGCGAAAGCGAGUUGCUGGACCUCUUCUGACGCUGAGGCGCGAAAGCUAGGGGAGCGAACGGG
rnacentral:rRNA from 1 species